UACGUAGGGGGCUAGCGUUGUCCGGAAUCAUUGGGCGUAAAGGGUGCGUAGGCGGCGGGGUAAGUCAGGUGUGAAAUCUCGGGGCUCAACCCCGAAACUGCACUUGAUACUGCCUCGCUUGAGUACUGGAGAGGAGACUGGAAUUUACGGUGUAGCAGUGAAAUGCGUAGAUAUCGUAAGGAAGACCAGUGGCGAAGGCGAGUCUCUGGACAGUUACUGACGCUGAGGCGCGAAAGCUAGGGGAGCAAACGGG
rnacentral:rRNA from 1 species